GUUUUAAUAGUUUAACCAAAACACCGGUCUUGUAAAUCGGAAUUGAAAGUACUUUUCUUAAAACA
rnacentral:tRNA from 1 species